GAUGAACGCUGGCGGCGUGCCUAAUACAUGCAAGUCGAGCGAACAGACGAGGAACUUGCUCCUCUUACGUUAGCGGCGGACGGGGGAGUAACACGUGGAUAAACUACCUAUAAGACUGGGAUAACUUCGGGAAACCGGAGCUAAUACCGGAUAAUAUAUUGAACCGCAUGGUUCAAUAGUGAAAGACGGUUUUGCUGUCACUUAUAGAUGGAUCCGCUCCGCAUUAGCUAGUUGGUAAGGUAACGGCUUACCAAGGCAACGAUGCGUAGCCGACCUGAGAGGGUGACCGGCCACACUGGAACUGAGACACGGUCCAGACUCCUACGGGAGGCAGCAGUAGGGAAUCUUCCGCAAUGGGCGAAAGCCUGACGGAGCAACGCCGCGUGAGUGAUGAAGGUCUUCGGAUCGUAAAACUCUGUUAUUAGGGAAGAACAAAUGUGUAAGUAACUAUGCACGUCUUGACGGUACCUAAUCAGAAAGCCACGGCUAACUACGUG
rnacentral:rRNA from 1 species